UCCUUUACUGACGCUAAAGCUCGAAGGUGCGGGUAUCGAACAGGAUUAGAUACCCUGGUAGUCCGCACGGUAAACGAUGGAUGCCCGCUGUUGGCGAUAUAUUGUCAGCGGCCAAGCGAAAGCGUUAAGCAUCCCACCUGGGGAGUACGCCGGCAACGGUGAAACUCAAAGGAAUUGACGGGGGCCCGCACAAGCGGAGGAACAUGUGGUUUAAUUCGAUGAUACGCGAGGAACCUUACCCGGGCUUGAACUGCAGCUGAACGAUCCAGAGAUGGUGAGGCCCUUCGGGGCAGCUGUGGAGGUGCUGCAUGGUUGUCGUCAGCUCGUGCCGUGAGGUGUCGGCUUAAGUGCCAUAACGAGCGCAACCCUUUUCUCUAGUUGCCAUCAGGUUAUGCUGGGCACUCUGGAGACACUGCCACCGUAAGGUGUGAGGAAGGUGGGGAUGACGUCAAAUCAGCACGGCCUUUACGUCCGGGGCUACACACGUGUUACAAUGGGUGGUACAGAGAGUCGGCGGCCGGCAACGUCCGCUUAAUCAUGAAAGCCAUCCUCAGUUCGGAUUGGGGUCUGCAACCCGACCCCAUGAAGCUGGAUUCGCUAG
rnacentral:rRNA from 1 species